rnacentral:rRNA from 1 species
GACGAACGCUGGCGGCGUGCUUAACACAUGCAAGUCGAACGCUGAAGCUCAGCUUUUGUUGGGUGGAUGAGUGGCGAACGGGUGAGUAACACGUGAGUAACCUGCCUCCUUCUUUGGGAUAACGCCCGGAAACGGGUGCUAAUACCGGAUAUUCACUGGUCUUCGCAUGGGGGUUGGUGGAAAGGGUUUUUCUGGUGGGGGAUGGGCUCGCGGCCUAUCAGCUUGUUGGUGGGGUGAUGGCCUACCAAGGCUUUGACGGGUAGCCGGCCUGAGAGGGUGACCGGUCACAUUGGGACUGAGAUACGGCCCAGACUCCUACGGGAGGCAGCAGUGGGGAAUAUUGCACAAUGGGCGCAAGCCUGAUGCAGCGACGCCACGUGAGGGAUGGAGGCCUUCGGGUUGUGAACCUCUUUCGCUCAUGGUCAAGCCGCAACAAUGGUUGUGGUGAGGGUAGUGGGUAAAGAAGCGCCGGCUAACUACGUG